UCAGCACGUCACCCUAAGGUAAAUUAUCUGCCACUGUUGGCAAAAUAAUCAGAGCGUCACUGUUUAUUUUGUCUAAAUAUAGAUUUAUUAUACAUGUGCAUACACUCUCUCCUUGACAGGUAUUUUAUUUGCCGGUAGUUAUUAAGAUAUCAGAACGAGAUUAUUAUACUUGCUUAACACUCACCACGUAUGAUAUUUUACUUAAAACCGUGUGUUUAAUGGUGGAUUUAAAUCAAAUUUUAUACCGAAGUCCUGUUAAAAUAGGACACAAGGUUUUGACAUGCCUCCGACGACAAGAGAUCGAAAACCCUUAGCAUCAUUAUCCAUAAGAAGACACAGUUGUUAUUUAUUAUCAUUGUUGAAUACAAGGGGAUUACUUUUAUGUGAACAGUAGCUAUAUUGAUUUUUCAUAUGUGAGAAGAGGUGAAGAGAUAAAGGCUUUUAUAUAAGAAGAUUUAUCAGAUAUUAAGAUUCAUACUUGUGUGCAAAAUGGUAUAUUUUCUUACUUGACUUAUGAAAAUUCAGAACAUUCCCAUAAGGCCUUAUACGAGUAGUGUUUACAGAGAAGUACAUUUUUAAAAUGUGAAAGCAGGAGAUAUUGAUUUCUACAUGUAAAUAGUUUAGGUUAACAUGCGAAUACAUGUAAAGCGAUCAACAGUUUA